rnacentral:rRNA from 1 species
GCGCAGCAGUUGCGAAAACUUGUCAAUGCACGAAAGUGUGAACGGGCUACCCCGAGUGCCGUCCGCUGAGGAUGGCUUUUCUCUGCUGUAAGAAGGCAGAGGAAUAAGGAGAGGGCAAGUCUGGUGUCAGCCGCCGCGGUAAUACCAGCUCUCCGAGUGGUAGGGAUGAUUAUUGGGCUUAAAGCGUCCGUAGCUGGCCUUUCAAGUCUCUUGUUAAAUCCAGCGAUUCAAUCGUUGGACUGCGGGAGAUACUGUUAGGCUAGGGGGCGGGAGAAGCCGACGGUAUUUCCGGGGUAGGGGUAAAAUCCUAUAAUCCCGGGAGGACCACCAGUGGCGAAGGCGGCCGACUAAAACGCGCCCGACGGUGAGGGACGAAAGCUGGGGGAGCGAACGGGAUUAGAUAUGAAGUUGAGUUUUUGCCAGCUUCACUAGAUACCCCCGUAGUCC